GCCGGAGUAGCUCAACGGUAGAGCACGCGAUUCGUAAUCGUGAGGUUAAGGGUCCGAUUCCCUUCUCCGGCUCCA
rnacentral:tRNA from 1 species